UUCAAUUGUUUCUUCUUCUUUUAUAUCUUCAAUUGUUUCUUCUUCUUUUAUAUCUUCUUUUAUAUCUUCUUUUGUUUCUUCUUCCUUUAUUUCUUCUUCCUUUAUUUCUUCUUUUGUUUCUUCUUCUUCUUUUAUAUCUUCAAUUGUUUCUUCUUCUUUUAUAUCUUCUUUUAUAUCUUCUUUUGUUUCUUCUUCCUUUAUUUCUUCUUUUGUUUCUUCUUCUUCUUUUAUAUCUUCAAUUGUUUCUUCUUCUUUUAUAUCGUCUUUUGUUUCUUCUUCUUCUUUUAUAUCUUCUUUUAUAUCUUCUUUUAUAUCUUCUUUUGUUUCUUCUUCCUUUAUUUCUUCAUUUGUUUCUUCUUCUUUUUUAUCUUCAUUUGUUUCUUCUUCUUUUAUAUCUUCCUUUAUUUCUUCUUUUGUUUCUUCUUCCUUUAUUUCUUCUUUUGUUUCUUCUUCUUCUUUUGUUUCUUCUUCUUCUUUUAUAUCUUCAAUUGUUUCUUCUUCNNNNNNNNNNUUCUUCUUCUUUUAUAUCGUCUUUUGUUUCUUCUUCUUCUUUUAUAUUUUCAUUUGUUUCUUCUUCUUUUAUAUCUUCAUUUGUUUCUUCUUCUUUAAUAUCUUCAUUUGUUUCUUCUUCUUUUAUAUCGUCUUUUGUUUUUUCUUCUUCUUUUAUAUCUUCAAUUGUUUCUUCUUCUUUUAUAUUGUCUUUUGUUUCUUCUUCUUUUUUAUCUUCUGUUGCUUCUUCUUCUUUGUCUUCUUUUUUAUCUUCUUUUGUUCCUUCUUCUCCGUUCUCUUCUUUUAUAUCUGCUGCUUUUUUUUCUUUUAUAUCUUUUUUUUCGUCUUUCUCUUUUAUAUUUUCUUCGUUUUUAUCUUUUGCUACACUCCCUUCUUGUUCAUUUAAAUAUGUUUCGUCAAUAUCUUCAUCAUCAUCAUCAUCAUCAUCAUCGUCGUCACUUUCAUACGCAUCGUCAAUAUCUUUAUUGUUAUCACUUUUAACAUCUUUAUUUUCUGUCGACGUAUACGCUAAUCCUGUAUUUUUUUUCGAUUUUCGGUGCUUUCUCAAAUAUGGUGAUUUUUUAUAUUUCAUUCUAUUGUUUACAUUUCUUUGAUUAUGUGUUCUACGUUUUCUAGAAUAUUCUGGGACUGUUGUAUCUGCUUGUUCAUUAUCAUACGAUGUUACAUAUUCUGACAAGUUCUCUGUUUUUUCAGAUUCCGUUGUUAAUUUAUUAUUUGCAUCACUUUUCUUAUCACCAUCUUCAUAUGUUAAAACAUAUUUACUAAAAUCAUCACUUGUAUCAAUAUCAGACGGCGAAAAAUCUCUUUCCCUUGUUUCAACAUUUACAUCUUUUAGAGUUGUAAAUUGUAUUGUUUCUUGUUCUUUGUCAUCUAUAUUAAAUGGUUCUGAUAGUGAUCUUAUAAUUUUUUGAUGAAAAAUUAAAUUACCUAAUUCAUUAUAAAGCUUCUUGUUGUAAGGGGCAUACUAAAAAGCAAAAAAAAAAAAAAAAAAUAAUAUAUA
rnacentral:lncRNA from 1 species